GGCGAGUGAGCGGCAAAAGCUCAAAUUUGAAAUCUGGUACCUUUGGUGCCCGAGUUGUAAUUUGGAGAGUACCACUUUGGGACUGUACUUUGCCUAUGUUCCUUGGAACAGGACGUCAUGGAGGGUGAGAAUCCCGUGUGGCGAGGGUGUCAGUUCUUUGUAAAGGGUGCUCGAAGAGUCGAGUUGUUUGGGAAUGCAGCUCUAAGUGGGUGGUAAAUUCCAUCUAAAGCUAAAUACAGGCGAGAGACCGAUAGCGAACAAGUACAGUGAUGGAAAGAUGAAAAGAACUUUGAAAAGAGAGUGAAAAAGUACGUGAAAUUGUUGAAAGGGAAGGGCAUUUGAUCAGACAUGGUGUUUUGCGCCCCUUGCCUCUCGUGGGCUUGGGACUCUCGCAGCUCACUGGGCCAGCAUCGGUUUUGGCGGCCGGAAAAAACCUAGGGAAUGUGGCUCUGCGCCUCGGUGUAGAGUGUUAUAGCCCUGGGGAAUACGGCCAGCCGGGACCGAGGACUGCGAUACUUGUUAUCUAGGAUGCUGGCAUAAUGGUUAUAUGCCGCCCGUC
rnacentral:rRNA from 1 species